CAAUGGAAAUUCUAAAUAUAUAAAUUUAUGUCACUGAGAGAAGGACAUACUAGCCUCAUGAAUAUUGCCAUGUUUAGACUAAAGUGAUUAAUAUUACUUUUCUGUGAUUUUUUUGGCAGCCACUACAGAAGGAAUUAGUCAGGCCCCAGGCCUGGAUGAUUUUCCCUUCCGAAUGAGAAUGUCAUACAGACUCUCAAAAGCAUGUGUAAGCCAGGAAUGGUUGGUGGAGAGCGCCUAUAAUUUCAGCACUCUUGGAGACUAGGGCAGGAGGAUCACAAGUUUAAGCUUGGCUUGGGCAGCUUAGGAACUUAGGGAGACCCCAUCUCAAAAUAAAAGUUAAAAAGGGCUGGGGUGGAGCUCAGUGCGAAGGCCCUGGGUUCAGUCUCCAAUGCUGGGAAGAAAUGCUCAUAUGCUCUCUGUCAUUUUCUCCUUUGAGGAAAGAUUUGCAGCUGCGAUGCUGAGUAUCGCUGCCUGUGUGGAAGGGGGUGAAGAGGAGCAGCCGUGUUGUGUCUGAGCAGCUCUGCCUCUCCAGGCGCUGACUUCUACGGCCUUUUCCUCAGGGUUGUGUCUGGCUGCCUCUCACAGCCCAGGCAAGGAGAUUUUCCUCCUAGUGCCUCCAAGGAUUAUCCCCUUGGACACUGAGAUUAAUGUCUUCCAUCCAUGAACAAAACUCUUUCUGCAGCAAGAAAUAUUGAAUAUGGGAUGGAGAUGCUGGGUCCUGAAUGUGUAGCUGAUCACACUGUGGCCUGGACACAGAGUUGGAACCACAAUCCAGAGUCCCUGGGUUUUGCCUGCAAAGGGCUGUGCUGCUUAUCCGUGGAGCCCUUCUUCUCCUUGUUUUCAUUUAGGCUCGUUGGUCUGUUUCCACUCCACACCACUGAGCCACCCUGCAGCUUUGCUGUGUAGGGUAAACUCUAAGGAUUGAAGAAUGAUUUGUCCCUAAGAAGAGGAUUGUGGCUUCAGGAAGUUGUCGAUGUCUAUAAGCAUACAGCUGUCCUGCAGCCAGGCUAAAGGAUUCAUUUCCAAACCCAUGUCAUCCUGUUCUCUGAGUACUAAUGCACCUUGACGAUUCUAGCUUUGUCUUCUUUCUUCUGCUGCUCAAAUUGAGGGGAUCUUGCUCAUUUGCUGAGACUCAGAGAUACAGAAGCUUUCUUAAGCACAUCUUCUCUCAGCUUCCAAACAGAGCUCAUGUUUCCUUCCCUGGGGUCCUACUGACUCACAUCACGGUGGCCUAGAGCUUCUG
rnacentral:lncRNA from 1 species